UGAACAUACAAGGAAACUAUAAUCUCCUCCUUCACCUUAUCGAUCUCUUCCUUACAACAAUUCAGUCAUAUCAAUAACUGCUAUUUCCACCAAUAUAUUCACCCUCAUAAUCUUCAACUGUAAUACUGUGCCCUCACAGCUUUCAGCACACAAUUACCUUCGUUCCAAUCUCUGGAAUUCUUCACACAAAACUGCCAUUCACAUUAUAGUAUUUCACACAAACACAGACUCAUUCUCUCUGCUGAACUACAAUCAAAUUUCAUCAUUCUAUCUUUCAUCUUCUCAAAUAAUACCAAUCACAUUUCUAUUCCAUAAUUCACUUCA
rnacentral:lncRNA from 1 species